rnacentral:misc_RNA from 1 species
GAACGCACCUUGCGCCCUUUGGCCAUUCCGAAGGGCAUGCCUGUUUGAGUAUCAUGAACACCUCAACUCUCAUGGUCCGCCAUGAUGAGCUUGGACUUUGGGGGCCUUGCCGGCCUAGCGUCGGCUCCUCUCAAAUGGAUCAGCUUGCCAGUGUUUGGUGGCAUCACAGGUGUGAUAACUAUCUACACAUGUGGUUCUCUGCCAUGUAACCUUCAGUAAUGGAGGUUCGCUGGAGCUCACAGAUGUCUCUCCUUUGGAGGACAGCUUUUGAACGUUUGAUCUCAAAUCAGGUAGGACUACCCGCUGAACUUA